rnacentral:rRNA from 1 species
UACGUAGGGGGCAAGCGUUGUCCGGAUUUAUUGGGCGUAAAGAGCGUGUAGGCGGCCAGAUAGGUCAGCUGUGAAAACUCGAGGCUCAACCUCGAGACGUCGGGUUGAAACCAUCUGGCUAGAGUCCGGAAGAGGAGAGUGGAAUUCCCGGUGUAGCGGUGAAAUGCGCAGAUAUCAGGAGGAACACCGAUGGCGAAGGCAGGUCUCUGGGCAUUAACUGACGCUGAGGAGCGAAAGCAUGGGGAGCGAACAGG